rnacentral:rRNA from 1 species
AUUGAACGCUGGCGGCAUGCCUUACACAUGCAAGUCGAACGGUAACGGGCCUUCGGGUGCCGACGAGUGGCGAACGGGUGAGUAAUGCAUCGGAACGUACCUUUCAGUGGGGGAUAACGUAGCGAAAGUUACUCUAAUAGCGCAUGUUCAGUGAGUAGGAAAUCAGGGUGUCGCAAGACCUUGCGCUUCUUGAGCGGGCGAUGUCAGAUGAGCUAGUUGGUGAGGUAAAGGCUCACCAAGGCGACGAUCUGUAGCGGGUCUGAGAGGAUGAUCCGCCACAAUGGAACUGAGACACGGUCCAGACUCCUACGGGAGGCAGCAGUGGGGAAUUUUGGACAAUGGGGGCAACCCUGGUCCAGCCAUGCCGCGUGAGUGAAGAAGGCCUUCGGGUUGUAAAGCUCUUUCGGUCGGGAAGAAAUCGCAUGGGUUAAUACCCUGUGCGGAUGACGGUACCGGCAUAAGAAGCACCGGCUAACUACGUGCCAGCAGCCGCGGUAACAC